UGGAAGAAUUGAUACUCUAAAAAUUUAAAGUUUUAAUUUUUCGACACAAAAUCUUCCUAAAAAAUAAAAAGCUUUGCGAUGACUGUAAAUUGUCAAGAAAUAAUUUAUAGACAGAUACGGAGCUUACAAUU